AUUGAACGCUGGCGGCAGGCCUAACACAUGCAAGUCGAGCGAGCGGCGGACGGGUGAGUAAUGUCUGGCUAACUGCCUGAUGGAGGGGGAUAACUGCUGGAAACGGUAGCUAAUCCCGCAUCCCAUCAAAUGUGGCCAGGUGGGAUUAGCUAGUAGGUGGGGUAAUGGCUAACCUAGGCGACGAUACCUAGCUGGUCUGAGAGGAUGACCAGCCAAACUGGAACUGAGACACGGUCCAGACUCCUACGGGAGGUAGAAGUGGGGAAUAUUGCACAAUGGGCGGAAGCCUGAUGCAGCCAUGCCGCGUGUGUGAAGAAGGCCUUCGGAUUGUAAAGUACUUUCAGCGAGGAGGCGUUACCCGCAGAAGAAGCACCGGCUAACUCUGUGCCAGCAGCCGCGGUAAUAC
rnacentral:rRNA from 1 species